AAGCGGCUGAGCGGCGAGGAUACACGCGGCUGAGUGUCAGAGACAAUGGAUAGAUGCGGCUAACUUCAGACGGUGCGGCUUCGGAGAGGGACCUGGCCGGAGACUGCCGGGCUUCAGAGAAAGCUCACGUUCCCAUCUGCUUUCCAGCCUCCCUUUCCGCUGAGAGCCACCCACCGCUCAAUGAAGUCUUCCGCAUUCAUCACCUUUCAAACGGAAAUAAAACAUUAACCAAAAGAGCAUGGGCAGAUAUUUCCUGGAUCUGAACAGGAAUAGCUGGUGUCUGGACUCUAUGAAGAAUCUUCAUGUGCAGUGAUAGAAUAAUAAACACAUUUGAACCAAGUUCACCAUGGAGAGAGUGAGUGGGUUGGGGAAAAGGUGUUGUAUGUUUGAGGAGUGAGGAGAAGGUGUCAAAUAAUCAUCCAGGCAGACUUUUGUAGUGCACAGUGACCAGUGACCAGCAGCAUGUGUUUCCAUAGGCAUCUUCUCUCAGGACCCCAGAAGGUGAAUUGUCAGUGAGUCCUGCCAGGAGGCCCCUCCGUGACUGCACCACCCAGUAAAAAGACAUCCCUUAACUAUGGCAAAACAACAACAACAACAACGACAAAAAAACAAAACAAAACAAAACAAAACCCUGCAUCAAUUUGAUAAAUAAUCCUCCCCAUUGAUGUCACUGUUUUUUUUCUGCACAUCUUCUCACUGAUAUUUAAAUGCUGAGUUUACACUUUCCAUGGACAUGCUUAAUGACUAAACAAUAGUUGAAUUCUAAAUUAAUCAACUGACCAACCAGUAAGAAUUUAUUAAGCAACUCCUUUGAAGCCAUCUAUCUGUUAGGUGCUGUGGGAGCACAAAAGAAAUAGGACAUCAUCUCUGCCUCAGGGAAUUUAGUGUUUUGGGGAAAACCUGAGUGGUAUACACAAAGCAAUUGAGGAACAACCUGGGACCUUGUAGUCCAUUAGGAUUUCCAAAAAUAGAAAGAGAAUGGAAAGUCACCUGGCUAGGAGAAGCCAGUGGAAACUUGACACGAAGAAAAAAGAGCAGCUAAUUUCAUUCCUGUCCACCAGUUAUUUAUGUGUUUAUCUUUAAUUACAUUUGUUUGAUUUCCCUUAUUAAAGUCUGAUGUCUUAAAAAAGCAGAAAAGUGAGGCAGGUCAGCAGGGGAUGUAAGUUGGGAAGAAAGACAGGUGAGGGCAAGAAUUUAGGCAGGAGCCACAGUGUUGGUUGUGCAGGUGAAGGUCAGGUGAUGGAGGGUAACCAGUCAUGGAUGACCCAGGCAGGAGCCAUAACCAAAAUGUUAGAAAAAGUUGGUAAGAAAUUGUUCCAGGCCAGGCGCAGUGGCUGACGCCUGUAAUUCCAGCACUUUGGGAGGCCAAGGUAGGUGGAUCACUUGAGGUCAGGAGUUUGAAACCAGCCUGGCCAACAUGGAGAUACCCUGUCUCUACUAAAAAUACUAAAACUAUCUGGGCAUGGUGGCACAUGCCGGUAAUCCCAGCUACUCAGGAGGCUGAGGCAGGAGAAUCACUUCAACCCAGGAGACAGAGAUUGCAGUAAGCCGAGAUUGCGCCACUGCACUCCAGCCUGGGUGACAGAGUGAGACACCAUCUCAAAAAAAAAAAAAAAAAAAAAAAAGAAGUUUUCCAGGAACAAGGGCAGAACUUAGCUACUGAGUUCUACCGAAGGCCAGGAUCUGAGUCAAGCACCAAGGUUAACUCCCAGGGAAGCCAAAUGUUCAUAAAAGGAAAUCUUUCCAAAUCACAAAUAUCAGGGCCUGUUAGGUAAAUUCUAGCUCCUCUGUGCCAAGGGCUGUGUUCCUACUCUCAAGCGCCACUCACUGACUGUCUAGGUGGUGCUGUGGGCUUCUGUACUUUUAGCUUCAUCAGCUGCACCUGUCCUCUUUUCCCAUAAGACACCAGGACCCUCAGAAUCUUCCCUCUUACCAGAAAUUUGGGUUUUGGGCUGGGUCCCUGGACCGAAUUCUGACACUCUAAGUGUUUGCAGACUAUUUUGAUAGAGGUAGUGAUUAUGAUGCCAGAAAAGUGAAGCCAGUUUUUAUUAGAAUGUUGGCCAUCUUGAAUAAUCCAUUCCCCCACUCCCACGGGACAUCUUCAAAGAGAUUUUUAAAAGACAAAUAUGAUCUCUACUCAUGAGAUAUCUUUAGAAGGUAGAAUUAAAGCAAAAUUAAUGUACCCAGAAUUCCUAUUUCAAUAUAUUUAUUAUUCACAACAUUUCUACUCACACACACACAUACACACACACACACACGCAUACACACACACACACAUUCCUGCACAGGUAAUUUAUAGUGGCUAAUCCACUCAGUACUGUGGACUUUGGUUUUAGAGAGCAUUGUUUUCAAGGGUAGUACAGAUAAUCUGCCUCCAACAUAUUCUAUUCUUAGGGCUCUAAAGUCAAAGGAGUUUGUACAGACCCCUCCCUGAUAAGGUAAUUAUGUCCUCUUCAUAUCUUGCAUGAAUGUUUGCUCUUAGACUGAUGAUCUGAAAUAUCAACAUCCUGCAGGACCUAGUCUGGUCUGGAAGAAGAAGAGAUAUGUCAUCUCUAUGGGCUUUGAUCUUGGUAGGCAUAUUUAUUCACCAGGUACACAAAUGCAACUUUACACCCUCAGCCACAUUUAGUAAACUAUUUCAUCAUCUGUUGCAGUCUUAUUCUGAUGGGAAAAAUUUCCUCUCUUUUUCAAGUUUAAUUUAUUAUUUUUUCAAAUUACAAGAGCAAUGCAUAUUAUUGUAACCAGAGAGAUAAUGCCAAGAUCUGUAGAGAAAAACUUAAUAAUCUCGACCUCCUAUAACCAUCUCUCUUCCCAUCCCCCUGAGGUAAUAGCAAAUGUUAACAGCCUGCUACCUCUGCACAUCUUCCUUCCUUCAUGAUUUCCCUACACACACACCCAUACACACACGCGCACAUGAACACACACACCCACUCAAACACACGGUGUACGUCCAGGGGUCAGAAGUGGCUACAGAGAUGGAGUCUUCAUUAUUAAGAGUAAAACAACAGAAGCCUGUAUUUUGACCAGAGGCCUGGAAUCUACUACUUUGUGAAUUAGCUAAGCAGUCCCAGUUAAAUGUGAACCAGCCCGGAACAGAGUGGACUGCAGAGGCAAUAAACAAGGAUGUCGUGAAGACCCUGUUUCUUUCUAGCGUGGCAUCCCAGGAUAAAAUAUACAAUUAAUAGAUACUGGAAGGCACACUUUCUGAUUAUGGAGAAACCAUCCAAUUUGGCCAUGGUUUUGCAUAGGGGUUAGGUUGGAAAUUCAACUAGAACAAUUUAAUGUCUACUGGCAAAACUUCUUAAUUAUGGAAUGAAAGCUACCUCAAAGUGCCUGGAGGCUUGAGCUGAAUGGUGAGAUCUUCCUUGACCUGACCUUCUCUGUGCUGAAGUUUGCUGACUUGAGGAGACCUCCCCUAAGAACAGACCCUCCCCUCAGGGCUGCCUUCAGCGAUGAUGAUUGACGCUGGCAAGUCAGUCAAGUGGGAAGUUUGCAGCACACACGGCUCAAAGGACUCACCCAGUUUGCCCUGUUGGAGGAUGUUAACCUUUGCACACUAUUUUUGACAUUUAAUUUUUCCUUCCAUUUAGUGCAUGACUCUUUUUUUGUCUUUCUAGUAAAUUCAUUUAGUUAGUAUUAUUCUUUGCCUAUUUUGUCUUUUAAACUUCUGGUUUUUAAUCUUUCAUAUUUUAUAUUAUUUAUUCUUGGUGUUCAUGCUUCUUAUUCUCUUUUCUGCUAUUUUAUCUUAUUGUUGUGAUAAUAGUAUAUUUUCAGUAAGCUCCUUUUACUAACUUCAUUUAUUUCUACAUAACGUUUUAUCUGGCUUUGACCACAACUAUAUAAGGGGACAGCAAAGUGGAGCCACAAAUGGGAAGAUUGUGAAGAGGGCCCUUGACCAAAUAAAGAGGAAACCUUUUCCCUGAAGAGGACCUUUCAGCAACCCAACUAAUUCACUCAUUUUUCUCAAAGCUGAAUUUUCUUCCACAAAAACCCCUUGACUUUGUUGUUGAGUAGAUCCUCAGGCCUAGGAAAAUAAUGUCUACAUCGACCAAGGAGAUAUCUGAACUACCAGUACUUCCUGCAGCAUCUUUGUUUUGGUUGGCCUGGGCAGGCGGUGGGGCACGGGGGUGAAGGGAGGGGUCUGAGGUGCGUAGAAAACAAGGGUAUCCCCAGGGUUAUGGGAGGAAGGUCUAGUGGACUGGAACCAUUGUAUCUGUCGAUUAGUGGAGGCAAUCAUAUUUGUGAUCCUUGAGCUAAUGGUCUAGUAAGACUAUAAACUUGUUCAUAAUUAAAGCUGGCAAGAGGGUUCUUACCCCACAUAAUGAGACAAGAGUGAACCACAGGAGGAAGCCAGCACAGAGACCGUAUGUAAUGAGUUCCUUCAUGGGAAAGGGAUGGAAAACAGUCCUCAGGCUAGCAGCAGAGGGAGUGCUGUCUGUUGUGGGUCUUGACCUGCUUAAGAGGUCUGACUUGAGGUGAGGCUGAAAGACAGCCCCGUUGGGGGCUUCAAGAUAAAGAUGGACGGAUAGGGUUCUCUCACCGCUGAGUAUCUCCUAAGGCAUUGGUAAAACACUAUUUAAAUAUUUCCUCUGUAACUCAGUUGUGCUAUUAAAGCUCUGUUUCUCAAAGUAGGUCUGUAGAUGUUCUUGAGAGAGUGAGUGUUUCAUGAGAAUUUUCAAAUUUUCUGCUUUCAUUUUGAAGAUAAUCUUAAAGAAAUAAAAUCAAAAUGUUCUACUACAUUAUUUUUAGUGCUGAAGGCUGAGUUUGGUGCCAAAUGAAGAACAAAUAACAUCAUGGCAUGCUAUGGAAAUGUCGAUAUUGCAUUAAGUUUGAAUAGAGAAAGAUGUGGGAAAAUUGAUCAAUUUUGUGGCCCAAAGGUAGUACAGACAUCAUUAGUUCAAAAUGCCUUCUGUCAUAGCAGUGGCAUAUCAUGUUGAGAACAGUUACUGUGAGACAUACCAACUUGAACUGUCAUUCAAUAGCAGGAAAGAAUACAGUUAUUUUUAUUCAAUAGUAUUUUUAAUGUUAAUCUUCAGUAUUUUUAUUAUUAUGUACUUAUUGUGGUGCACUAUUAAAUUUAUCAUCCCCUCAAACUAAUGGAUUAGUAGUUAAAACAAGCUUAUUUACCAAAAACGAUUAAUCCUACGAUAACCUGAAGAAAGACUUAAGAUAUGCUUCCAGUAUUGUUCAAAGUCAAAAGAAUCAAGAGGACAGAAAGUGAAGCAUAAAACAUACAAAUAGUAGGUGUAUUAAACCCAAUGACAGCAAUUUAGUUCCAACAAAAUAUCAUUUAUCACACUGAUGUUUUCUAUAUGAACUCUAGUGGCUUUUGUAUGUUUGUUUGUUUUUAAUUUGCAGCUUUGCUUGAGUUUUGAAAUAAUUUAAGAGCUAUAUGUAUGGGAAAUUUAUAUCUAGUUUUAUAUCUGUUCAUUUUGAAGUAACACAAUAAAAAUAUUGUAGAGCAACA